UUAUAAGAGACAGCAGUAGCCGCGGUAAUACGGAGGGUGCAAGCGUUAAUCGGAAUUACUGGGCGUAAAGCGCACGCAGGCGGUCUGACAAGUCAGAUGUGAAAUCCCCGGGCUUAACCUGGGAACUGCAUUUGAAACUGUCAGGCUGGAGUCUUGUAGAGGGGGGUAGAAUUCCAGGUGUAGCGGUGAAAUGCGUAGAGAUCUGGAGGAAUACCGGUGGCGAAGGCGGCCCCCUGGACAAAGACUGACGCUCAGGUGCGAAAGCGUGGGGAGCAAACAGGAUUAGAUACCCGCGUAGUCCCUGUCUCUUAUAC
rnacentral:rRNA from 1 species